rnacentral:lncRNA from 1 species
UUAAAGUAAUGUUACAGAUGGGAUUUACAAAGAAAUGGGUGAGAUUAAUUUUGAAAUGCAUUACCACAGUCUCUUACGCAUUAAAUAACAAUGGAAGGAGGGGAGGAACUUUUCCACCUACUGGGGGUAUUAGACAAGGCAAUCCCCUUAUUCCGUUUCUUUUUCUAAUAUGCGGCGAGAGACUUUCAUCAUUGAUGAGAUUAGCAAUGGGAGAGGGUUUGAUUAAAUGUGCAUAACCAAACAUAAGCAGGCCCGAGAUAUCUCACUUACUUUUUGCUGAUGAUUGCAUUUUGUUUGUUGAAGCAACAAUCAGGUGUGCGAUAAUUCUUAAAAGGAUACUCGAGGAAUAUGAAAGUUGUUCGAGGCAAUGUGUGAACUUUAAUAAAUCAACAAUCUUCUACAGCUAAGUAUCGACACUGCUAUGAAUAAGAAGCUCAACAAAUCUUGAAAAAUAUUUAGAUCUCCCUAAUGUUUUGGGCAGACGAAAAAAAGAAUCUUUUCAGAAUUUAAAAGAAAUGGUCUCUGUACGAAUUGAAAACUAGAGAACUAGGUUUCUAUCGCAAGAGGUAAAGGAGAUCUUCAUUAAAUCAAUAUUACAGGGUAAAGGAGGUCUCUGUACGAAUGGAAGAGAGAGCUAGUUGCCAAUACCUUCCCAAAAGUUGAAGUUGGAAAAAUCCUUAGCAUCCCGUUGGCGUAAGAACCUCAUGCUGAUAUUCUGACGUGGAGCGGGGAACCUUCGGGAGAAUAACUAUUACAAAUUUCUAAUCUUAGAACUUACGCUUUACAGACCGACUAUAAGGAUUUUUACAAAAAAAACUUUGGCUCCUAGAUCUACCUACCAAAAUUAAAGUUACAAUUUGGAAGAAUUCAUGGAACUAUUUGCCUACACGGGCUAACAUGGUAUACAGAAGACUAAAAAACAGUUCCGCUUGUCCCCGUUGUGGUGAAGGAGUAGAAACAAUGGAUCACCUCUUAGUCCUCUUCCGCGAAUGUCCUGUAUUAGUGUCAAUUUGGAGAGCAUUAUCAACCUCGAAUUUUAUACAGGAAUCUACUAUAGCAUUCGAACAGUGGCUUACCAGGGUUUUCGCUCAACAGCCUUCCAGUCUUUGCAGAAUAUUUUGCUGUGCGCUAUGGGCCAUCUGGGGGACAAGAAUGCUCGUAUUCAUAAAAAGAAAAAUAAAUCUGGUCAGGAGAUAGCAAAAUUUGUCCACAACUAUAUAUCAGAGUUAAAUGGCGUCGGACAAAGAACAUUCAAAGGUUUAACGGAGGAAAUAAAAUGGAAACGCCCACCUGUUCAAACAGUAAAAAUUAAUUUCGAUGGAGCCUACGAUGAGAGGAAUCAACAGUCAGCAUCUGGAGUUGCUGUAUGAGGCAGUGCAGGGCUGGUCCUCCUAUCAUGCUUGGAGAUUCAUCAAAGAGUACCCUCAACCUUCGCUGCUGAAGCCCUUGCUUGCCGUAAAGUUAGGAAUCGACAUGCAAUGGCCAGAAAUAAUCAUUGAGGGUGAUUCUUUAUCGAUAAUAAAGAAAUGCAACGCUAAAGGGUAUGAUAAAUAGCAGAUAGGGGCGUAUAUACAUGACAUUCAUCAGUUAAAGACUAGAUCCAGGAAUCUAAGGUUCGAAUAUACCCCAAGAAUAGCAAAUUUUUUAGCCCAUAUUUUAGCAACAGAAACUUUGAAGAGGAAGGAUAAGACGUACCUUGUUGAGAGUGUCCCCAGAUUUGCCAAAAACCACAUGGAAAAUGACAGCGUGAGAGAACUAGACUGAAGAAGAAAGGAGAUAGAGAGAAAAUAAGGAAGUUUCAAAACGAACAGAUCAAAAGUCAUGAGGAUUAAAGCUUCCUUUGAAAACAACAGCGCCAUUAAAAUUGAAAUGACAGAAUGAUGGAAAGACAAGCGUCAGGUUUUUUCUGAUUGGGCAUUUAGUCGGUGGCAUAAUUACACUUCUAGAAUUUUCUGUUUAUUUUAGUAUCUAAGAUAUUUUUAUAUCACGGGCCAUUUUGAGUGUUGGGCCUUCAGUAUUGUUCUGUUUAUUUUUGAACUUUGUUUUAUAU